rnacentral:piRNA from 1 species
AGAAAAAGAUUGGCAGGUGACUUGAGU